GACGAACGCUGGCGGCGUGCUUAACACAUGCAAGUCGAACGGAAAGGCCCUGCUUUUGUGGGGUGCUCGAGUGGCGAACGGGUGAGUAACACGUGAGUAACCUGCCCUUGACUUUGGGAUAACUUCAGGAAACUGGGGCUAAUACCGGAUAGGAGCUCCUGCUGCAUGGUGGGGGUUGGAAAGUUUCGGCGGUUGGGGAUGGACUCGCGGCUUUUAACUUGUUGGGGGGGGUGUGGCUUACCAAGGCUUUGACGGGUAGCCGGCCUGAGAGGGUGACCGGCCACAUUGGGACUGAGAUACGGCCCAGACUCCUACGGGAGGCAGCAGUGGGGAAUAUUGCACAAUGGGCGGAAGCCUGAUGCAGCAACGCCGCGUGCGGGAUGACGGCCUUCGGGUUGUAAACCGCUUUCGCCUGUGACGAAGCGUGAGUGACGGUAAUGGGUAAAGAAGCACCGGCUAACUACGUG
rnacentral:rRNA from 1 species